rnacentral:rRNA from 1 species
GACAGGGGAUGCAAGCGUUGUCCGGAAUGAUUGGGCGUAAAGCGUCUGUAGGUGGCUUUUUAAGUCUGCCGUCAAAUCCCAGGGCUCAACCCUGGCCCGGCGGUGGAGACUACUAAGCUGGAGUACGGUAGGGGCAGAGGGAAUUUCCGGUGGAGCGGUGAAAUGCGUAGAUAUCGGAAAGAACACCAAGGGCGAAGGCACUCUGCGGGGCCGAAACUGACACUGAGAGACGAGAGCUAGGGGAGCAAAUGGG